rnacentral:lncRNA from 1 species
UUUCAUAACAUUUAAAUAUUAUCAAUAUAUAUUACACAAUCCAAAUACUUCAAUACACAAAGACGUCUUACUACAAGACAUCUUAUUCUUAUAAUUGAAUAAUCUUAACUGCUAUUAUCCAAUCAAAUUCCUUCUACUCGUAGCUGAAUUUAAGGGCUAAAUUUACCAAAUCUAAAAGCUAAAUUUAGAAGGAUUAUUAUUUUUCACUCCAUGAACAUAAGUACUGCAAUCAUGCAUUAUCACGAACAUCUUCUUCAUUCACGGACAGCUUCUUCAUUCGAUAAAUUUGAUGGGUUAGGGAUAUAAGUUGAAGAAGAAACACUUUAAACAUAUUAAUCAUAUCUGCAAACAAAUAAAAGAAAAAGGAAAAGAAAUUGGUUGCCAAAUUCCAACAGUUGCAAAAUAAAUUAACAAGCAAUACAGAGACAAAAGUUAAUAGAAAUAAACAUAUUUUGCUCGAAAAUAUUUUAUAUUUGUCUAUUUUCGUAAAUUUGUGAUGUUUAGGGCUACUAUGUUAGGGGCGCAAAACCCUAAUUUUAUUAAUUCAAACUUUUUCAAUAAAACAUUCAUUAUUGAGAAGCUUUGUUUCUCUUAUCAAUCAAAUUCUUAUGUUUUCACACUACUAGAAAAAUGAUCUUUACUGACUUUAGAAUAGUGUCAGAAAUUACUUUUACUGACACUUAUUAAUUGUGUCAGUAAUCUGGGAGUCAGAAAAAUAGUGACACUUGUAAGUGGUGUCAGUGAUUACUAUUACUAUAGUAUCACUAAAAUAAUAACACCAUGGUAUCAAAAUAUUACAAUACUAUAUUAGUAUUUGUGAUUACUGUUACUAUAGUAUCACUACUUUAUUUAUUUUUUAAAAAAUAAUUAUAUAAAAUGACAUGUUGCCCAUUGAUUUGUUGAUAGAAUUAAAAGGCUGUGAGAAAUAAGAACAAAAAUCAAUUUAUAUAUCAAAACCUUUCAUAACAUUUAAAUAUUAUCAAUAUAUAUUACACAAUCCAAAUACUUCAAUACACAAAGACGUCUUAUUACAAGACAUCUUAUUCUUAUAAUUGAAUAAUCUUAACUGCUAUUAUCCAAUCAAAUUUCUUCUACUCGUAGAUGAAUUUAAGGGCUAAAUUUACCAAAUCUAAAAGCUAAAUUUAGAAGGAUUAUUAUUUUUCACUCCAUGAACAUAAGUAUUGCGAUCAUGCAUUAUCACAGACAGCUUCUUCAUUCGAUGAAUUUGAUGGGUUAGGGAUAUAAGUUGAAGAAGAAACACUUUAAACAUAUUAAUCAUAUCUGCAAACAAAUAAAAGAAAAAGGUAAAGAAAUUGGUUGCCAAAUUCCAACAGUUGCAAAAUAAAUUAAAAAGCAAUACAGACACAAAAGUUAAUAGAAAUAAAUAUAUUUUGCUCGAAAAUAAAAAAAUUCAUAAGCUAUGAACAGAUCAACUCAAUUAUCUUAAAGGAAAAUUAGAGAAUAAGAAUGUUGUAACUCAUUUGAUUAGAAAUAAGGUAGAAUAUAUUUAACUAUAGAUAUAAAUUAAAAAAAAAAAAAGGUGAUGAUGAAUUCAUUCUCUUAUAUAUAUAUGAAUAAGAGAGAGUGAGAGAGCAAAUUAUAGCAUUCAAAUUUUCAGUAUAACAUCUAGUUUCAAGAAAGUGUGUUUAUUUCUCAUUAUAUAAAAAAUAAUGAUUUUCCAGCUAAAAAAAAUUCAUAAUAAAAUUUAAUAUCUAAUACAACAUAGUAUGUUUUUUUUUUCAAAAAAAUGCUUGCAAUUAUGUCUUUUAGCCACCAAGCCUAAGUGUGAGAGUAAAGCAUUUAACUCUUGAUAAUUACACACUUUCUGCAUAAUGCAAUUAGUGUCAACUCAUUCUAAAUUACUCUACUUGAAUAAUAAAACAUUUCAGCCAUUGUAUUGAUGGAGCUACUAAUCCAGAAUAUUCACAAUAAAUAUAGAGUUCAAGGCAAUUAAGAGAUGUACCUCUUAAAGCUAUGCAUAUUCUCUAUCUUUCUAAGGCAAUCUUUAAUUCAUAUAGUUCCACCCCCUUUGAAUUCACAAACCAAGACUUUACAAACAAAGGCCUUAUAUCAUUAAUCUUNN